rnacentral:rRNA from 1 species
GAAAUUCGCCUUCCAUGAAGUCGGAAUUGCUAGUAAUGGCAGGUCAGCAUACUGCCGUGAAUACGUUCCCGGGCCUUGUACACACCGCCCGUCACACCAUGAGAGUUGGGAAUACCCGAAGCCUGUGAGCCAACAAACGAGGCAGCAGUCGAAGGUAGAAUCAAUGAUUGGGGUGAAGUCGUAACAAGGUAGC